CCAAAGGCUCUUCUAAGAGCCACCACAACCUCUGCUGAGUUGAUCU
rfam:Takifugu rubripes genomic scaffold, scaffold_3866